rnacentral:tRNA from 2 species
GGGCAGAUGGCCGAGUGGUCUAAGGCGCUAGUUUUAGGUUUAUCCGACGGAUCGGAUAUUAGAACCACUAGUCUUCGGGCGGGGGUUCAAAUCCCACUCUGCUCA